rnacentral:rRNA from 1 species
CCAAUAGCGUAUAUUAAAGUUGUUGCAGYUAAAAAGCUCGUAGUUGAACUUCGGGGUUUACCCAUUGGUCAGGCUUAAUUGUCUGYACUGGUGAGAUGAAUCUCUACCUUCUGAGGAACUUUCAUGCCAUUUAUUUGGUGUGAUKGGAAAUCAGGACUGUUACUUUGAAAAAAUUAGAGUGUUUAAAGCAGGCUAACGUCUGAAUACAUUAGCAUGGAAUAAUGAAAUAGGACGGACUGAUUCUAUUUCGUUGGUUUCUAGGAUCACCGUAAUGAUUAAUAGGGAUAGUUGGGGGGCAUUAGUAUUCAAUYGUCAGAGGUGAAAUUCUUGGAUUUAUUGAAGACUAACUACUGCGAAAGCAUUUGCCAAGGAUGUUUUCAUUAAUCAAGAACGAAAGUUAGGGGAUCGAAGACGAUCAGAUACCGUCGUAGUCUUAACSAUAAACUAAACUGUCSGACCGUASGGAUMGGKACGUACGKAAYGUUAAAGUUUAAUUUAAUAGUACGACGUUCG